rnacentral:rRNA from 1 species
CAAGUCGAACGAACCUUCGGGUUAGUGGCGGACGGGUGAGUAACGCGUGGGAAUCUGCCCUCAGGAGGGGGAUAACGGUUGGAAACGACCGCUAAUACCCCAUAUGCCGAGAGGUGAAAUGAAUUUCGCCUGAGGAUGAGCCCGCGUCUGAUUAGCUUGUUGGUGAGGUAAUGGCUCACCAAGGCAUCGAUCAGUAGCUGGUCUGAGAGGAUGAUCAGCCACACUGGGACUGAGACACGGCCCAGACUCCUACGGGAGGCAGCAGUGGGGAAUUUUCCGCAAUGGGCGAAAGCCUGACGGAGCAACGCCGCGUGAGGGACGAAGGCCUCUGGGCUGUAAACCUCUUUUCUCAAGGAAGAAGAUAUGACGGUACUUGAGGAAUAAGCCACGGCUAAUUCCGUGCCAGCAGCCGCGGUAAUACGGGAGUGGCAAGCGUUAUCCGGAAUUAUUGGGCGUAAAGCGUCCGCAGGCGGCCUUUCAAGUCUGCUGUUAAAACGUGGAGCUUAACUCCAUCAUGGCAGUGGAAACUGAUUGGCUUGAGUAUGGUAGGGGCAGAGGGAAUUCCCGGUGUAGCGGUGAAAUGCGUAGAUAUCGGGAAGAACACCAGUGGCGAAGGCGCUCUGCUGGGCCAUUACUGACGCUCAUGGACGAAAGCCAGGGGAGCGAAAGGGAUUAGAUACCCCUGUAGUCCUGGCCGUAAACGAUGAACACUAGGUGUCGGGGGAAUCGACCCCUUCGGUGUCGUAGCUAACGCGUUAAGUGUUCCGCCUGGGGAGUACGCACGCAAGUGUGAAACUC